rnacentral:tRNA from 1 species
UGGAGGGGUGGCCGAGUGGUCGAUGGCACCGCACUUGAAAUGCGGCAGGCGAUGAGCCUCGUAGGUUCGAAUCCUAUCCCCUCCGCCAU